GAUGAACGCUGGCGGCGUGCCUAAUACAUGCAAGUCGAGCGAAGCGGGGACGGGUGAGUAACACGUGGAUGACCUCCUAUAAGACUGGGAUAACUUCGGGAAACCGGAGCUAAACCGGCUUCUUAUAGAUGGAUCCGCGCUGCAUUAGCUAGUUGGUAAGGUAACGGCUUACCAAGGCAACGAUGCAUCGCCGACCUGAGAGGGUGAUCGGCCACACUGGAACUGAGACACGGUCCAGACUCCUACGGGAGGCAGCAGGAGGGAAUCUUGCGCAAUGGGCGAAAGCCGGACGGAGCAACGCCGCGUGUGUGAUGAAGGUCUUCGGAUCGUAAAGCUCUGUUAUUAGGGAAGCGGUACCUAAUCAGAAAGCCACGGCUAACUACGUGCCAGCAGCCGCGGUAAUUC
rnacentral:rRNA from 1 species